CCCCUAGACGUUCUGGGCUGCACGCGCGCUACAAUAAUACGCACAGCGAGUAUCACCGAGCUCGAAAGGGCAAGGUAAACAAUAGAAAAGGCACUGUAAUGGUUAUAGAUCCUUGUAAUUAUUGAUCUUCAACGAGGAAUUCCUAGUAAGUAUGUGUCAUCAUCACGCACUGAUUACGUCCCUGCCCUUUGUACACACCGCCCGUCGCUCCUACCGAUUGGGUGAGCCGAUGAAACUCUCGGAUGUAGGCUAUUCAUAGCCCGCAGAAGAGAUUUGAAUCGUAGCGCUUAGAGGAAGGAGAAGUCGUAACA
rnacentral:rRNA from 1 species